AAAAAAAAAAAAAAAAAAAAAAAACAAGAAGAAGAAGCAGAAGAACACGUCAUCUGACAAAGACCAAUAGCGUGGCUCGUUGCUGAGACGUGUACAGACCGCUCUUUUUACCUGGACACCUGAUGACCUCGCCUACGGACACAGUUUUGAAUUCGUACCAGCGCCAUUUUAGCUGCUCGGACCACAGCAUCUUUGGACUUUUUAGACAUCCUGUCAGCUUUAAAUUAACUCGUGAGCAUCAGAGGAGAGUGACAGGUGAAACUGUGUCAAGACAACGGCGGGAAAAACAUGAUGAAGAUGGAAUAAAACCUUAGCUGGAAAUAUUUGAAGGGAUCUAGCCAGUCCACAAUGAAAGCUUCAUUGCCAACGUUGCUGUGAGUCUUCUGGCAGAAAUGAUGACGCCUGUAUGAAUUCUUUGGUUUCCCUAAACAUCACACCCUCUGUACGAGGCUCUCACCAUCUUCAAUUAUGUCUGCACCUAAAGAUUCAAUAAGAGAAUGGAUCCUGCCAGUCCAAAGUGAACUCCUGAUGGACAUCUCAGUACUCCAGCAGACUAGUGGUGUCCCAACUACGGCACGUGGGCCAACUGCGGCCCACUAUUCAUUUUUAAUUGGCCCGUGGCAAGUUCCAAGAAUAUACUGGACUAUGGCCCAAGCAUGAAACUUGGCUGCACUGCCAGUGAGCCGCCCAGCUGUAUUUUGACAGUCGAUGGGCAAAAAAUAGUCUACGGCGUGCUCAUUUUUAAUGUAUUUUUUACCAUGGUGUGUAUUGAGUAUGCAAAAUAUGAAAGAUGAUUUAAAAAAAAAAAAAUGUUUUUGUUUGAUAUGUAUUCAAGACAUUUUGACAAGAAAUACUGCAUAUUGUUAACUGC
rnacentral:lncRNA from 1 species